rnacentral:rRNA from 1 species
CCUACGGGAGGCAGCAGUAAGGAAUAUUGGUCAAUGGAGGAAACUCUGAACCAGCCAUCCCGCGUGAAGGAUGAAGGGGCUCUGCCUUGUAAACUUCUUUUGUCUGGGGCGAAAAAGCUCGAUUUAUCGAGAACUGACGGUACCAGAAGAAUAAGCACCGGCUAACUCCGUGCCAGCAGCCGCGGUAAUACGGCGGGUGCAAGCAUUAUCCGGUAUCACUGGGGUGUAGGCGGCUUUAGGCGGCAGAGUAGAAAGGCUGUGGCUUAACCAUGGAAUUGCCAUUGAUACUGCAGAGCUUGAAUGAGGUUGAGGUUAGCGGAAUGUGACAUGUAGCGGUGAAAUGCUUAGAUAUGUCAUGGAACACCGAUUGCGAAGGCAGCUGACUGGACCUAUAUUGACGCUGAGGCACGAAAGCGUGGGGAGCGAACAGGAUUAGAUACCCCGGUAGUC